rnacentral:lncRNA from 1 species
GUUAAACCUGAGGAAUACGAGAUUGAGAGGAUCUGAGCAACUGCCAUAAAGUCAGGAGUUCAAAACAAUGCAGGCAGAGGACUUAAUGGCAUAAAGCUCUUCUGGGAAAGUGAAUCCAAACAACUUCAGGAAGGAGACUGGGAUUCAUGAAUCACCAUGAAAAAAUCAGUCAAAACAAUUUCUACGGGGAUGAAUAAAGAGUAUUUUUCCAUAGAGAGGGAGAAGGACUGAAACAUGAGAGUAAAGCAAGUAGGUACUUUGUGUCCUUGAUGGAGAUUGC